GACGAACGCUGGCGGCGUGCUUAACACAUGCAAGUCGAACGGAAAGGCCCUGCUUUUGUGGGGUGCUCGAGUGGCGAACGGGUGAGUAACACGUGAGUAACCUGCCCUUGACUUUGGGAUAACUUCAGGAAACUGGGGCUAAUACCGGAUAGGAGCUCCUGCUGCAUUGUGGGGGUUGGAAAGUUUCGGCGGUUGGGGAUGGACUGGCGGCUUAUCAGCUUGUUGGUGGGGUAGUGGCUUACCAAGGCUUUGACGGGUAGCCGGCCUGAGAGGGUGACCGGCCACAUUGGGACUGAGAUACGGCCCAGACGCCUACGGGAGGCAGCAGUGGGGAAUAUUGCACAAUGGGCGGAAGUCGGAUGCAGCAACGCCGCGUGCGGGAUGACGGCCUUCGGGUUGUAAACCGCUUUCGCCUGUGACGAAGCGUGAGUGACGGUAAUGGGUAAAGAAGCACCGGCUAACUACGUG
rnacentral:rRNA from 1 species